UGGGGAAUAUUGCACAAUGGGCGAAAGCCUGAUGCAGCAACGCCGCGUGAGCGAUGAAGGCCUUUGGGUCGUAAAGCUCUGUCCUUGGGGAAGAAAAAAAUGACGGUACCCUUGGAGGAAGCCCCGGCUAACUACGUGCCAGCAGCCGCGGUAAUACGUAGGGGGCAAGCGUUAUCCGGAAUUAUUGGGCGUAAAGAGUGCGUAGGUGGUUUUGUAAGCGCGGGGUGAAAGGCUAUGGCUCAACCAUAGUAAGCCUUGCGAACUGUAAGACUUGAGUGCAGGAGAGGAAAGCGGAAUUCCUAGUGUAGCGGUGAAAUGCGUAGAUAUUAGGAGGAACACCAGUGGCGAAGGCGGCUUUCUGGACUGUAACUGACACUGAGGCACGAAAGCGUGGGUAGCAAACAGG
rnacentral:rRNA from 1 species